UAAUACGAAGGGCCCGAGCGUUACGCGAAAUCACUGGGCUUAAAGGGUGCGUAGGCGGGCCCGUCAGUGUCUUGUGAAAUCCCACGGCUCAACCGUGGAACUGCUUGGCAUACUGCGGGUCUUGAGGUCGAAAGAGGUCGCUGGAACUCUAGGUGUAGCGGUGAAAUGCGUAGAUAUCUAGAGGAACGCCCAAGGCGAAGGCAGGCGACUGGGUCGAUCCUGACGCUGAGGCACGAAAGUAUGGGUAGCGAACGGGAUUAGAUACCCCGGUAGUCCAUACCCUAAACGAUGUGCACUAGAUUGUGGCGGCUCUGACGUUGACACGGUCGAAGCUAAAGUCUUAAGUGCACCGCCUGGGGAGUACGGCCGCAAGGCUA
rnacentral:rRNA from 1 species